UGGGGAAUAUUGCACAAUGGGCGCAAGCCUGAUGCAGCCAUGCCGCGUGUAUGGAGAAGGCCUUCGGGUUGUAAAGUACUUUCAGUCGGGAGGAAGGUGUCAAGGUUAAUAACCUUGGCAAUUGACGUUACCGACAGAAGAAGCACCGGCUAACUCCGUGCCAGCAGCCGCGGUAAUACGGAGGGUGCAAGCGUUAAUCGGAAUUACUGGGCGUAAAGCGCACGCAGGCGGUUGAUUGAGUCAGAUGUGAAAUCCCCGGGCUUAACCCGGGAAUUGCAUCUGAUACUGGUCAGCUAGAGGCUUGUAGAGGGGGGUAGAAUUCCAUGUGUAGCGGUGAAAUGCGUAGAGAUGUGGAGGAAUACCGGUGGCGAAGGCGGCCCCCUGGACAAAGACUGACGCUCAGGUGCGAAAGCGUGGGGAGCAAACAGG
rnacentral:rRNA from 1 species